GAUGAACGCUGGCGGCGUGCCUAAUACAUGCAAGUCGAGCGAACAGACGAGGAGCUUGCUCCUCUGACGUUAGCGGCGGACGGGUGAGUAACACGUGGAUAACCUACCUAUAAGACUGGGAUAACUUCGGGAAACCGGAGCUAAUACCGGAUAAUAUAUUGAACCGCAUGGUUCAAUAGUGAAAGACGGUUUUGCUGUCACUUAUAGAUGGAUCCGCGCCGCAUUAGCUAGUUGGUAAGGUAACGGCUUACCAAGGCAACGAUGCGUAGCCGACCUGUGAGGGUGAUCGGCCACACUGGAACUGGGACACGGUCCAGACUCCUACGGGAGGCAGCAGUAGGGAAUCUUACGCAAUGGGCGAAAGCCUGACGGAGCAACGCCGCGUGAGUGAUGAAGGUCUUCGGAUCGUAAAACUCUGUUAUUAGGGAAGAACAAAUGUGUAAGUAACUAUGCACGUCUUGACGGUACCUAAUCAGAAAGCCACGGCUAACUACGUG
rnacentral:rRNA from 1 species